rnacentral:tRNA from 1 species
UGAGGAUAUGGCUCAGUUGGUAGAGUGCUUGCCUUCAUGCAAAAGCCCUGGGUUCAAUUCCCAGAACCACAA